GACGAACGCUGGCGGCGCGCUUAACACAUGCAAGUCGAACGGAAGGGCCUGCUUUCCCUUGUGGAUUGCGGGUACUCGAGUGGCGAACGGGUGAGUAACACGUGAGUGAUCUGCCCCCAACUUGGGUAUAAGCCUGGGAAACUGGGUCUAAUUCCCGAUAGGACUGCAGGGUGGUGCCUGUGGUGGAAAACGAUUUUCUAGUGGUUGGGGAUGAGCUCGCGGCCUAUCAGCUUGUUGGUGGGGUAAUGGCCUACCAAGGCGGCGACGGGUAGCCGGCCUGAGAGGGUGGACGGCCACAUUGGGACUGAGAUACGGCCCAGACUCCUACGGGAGGCAGCAGUGGGGAAUAGUGCACAAUGGGCGGAAGCCUGAUGCAGUGACGCCGCGUGGGGGAUGACGGCCUUCGGGUUGUAAACUCCUUUCGACCGCGAGGAAGCCACCUGGUUGGAAGGGUGGUGGCGGUAGUGGUAGAAGAAGCACCGGCUAACUACGUG
rnacentral:rRNA from 1 species